rnacentral:rRNA from 1 species
UACGCACGCUGGCGGCGUGCUUAACACAUGCAAGUCGAACGGAAAGGCCCUGCUUUUGUGGGGUGCUCGAGUGGCGAACGGGUGAGUAACACGUGAGUAACCUGCCCUUGACUUUGGGAUAACUUCAGGAAACUGGGGCUAAUACCGGAUAGGAGCUCCUGCUGCAUGGUGGGGGUUGGAAAGUUUCGGCGGUUGGGGAUGGACUCGCGGCUUAUCAGCUUGUUGGUGGGGUAGUGGCUUACCAAGGCUUUGACGGGUAGCCGGCCUGAGAGGGUGACCGGCCACAUUGGGACUGAGAUACGGCCCAGACUCCUACGGGAGGCAGCAGUGGGGAAUAUUGCACAAUGGGCGGAAGCCUGAUGCAGCGACGCCGCGUGCGGGAUGACGGCCUUCGGGUUGUAAACCGCUUUCGCCUGUGACGAAGCGUGAGUGACGUGAAUGGGUAAAGAAGCACCGGCUAACUACGUG